UAUAAAAGAAUCUAUUGGGUGAUUUCCCAAUUACGCUAUUUCCGUGAAAUCCAUUCUCAUUCAUCGCUAUCUACCGCCUCUCUUUCUCUCUCUAGAAUCACCGUCGCCGCUUUCCGAUUUCCCUUUUAUCUACGACUCCCUCCGAUUAUUUUCACCGGUAAGACCUUCGAUUUCUGAACUGUUGCACGCGAAAGCGCGAGAAAAAAAGGCAAGAUACCACCACACCCGUGUUAUCUUAUACGAUUUUUCAAUAUUCUGUCGAUUUUUUGAUUUGAUUUGAUUUUUAGUUUUAUGAUUUUUUGGGGUUGGGAAUAGAAUUGAAGCUUUUGAUUUUUCUUCUGAAUUUGGUGUUGUACCAGAUUCGUAUCUGAAUUCCGAUACCAAAAGCCAAUUAAAAAAGGAUUUUGCUUUGUUAAAUUAGGGUUUUCUGUGUGAUUUGAAAAAAAAGGUUGAUUAUUUGUGUGGGGAUUAAUCGAGUCUGGGGAAUUAAGGUUAAGCUUCCAAUAAAAACCUAGUUUUAGAAGAGUUCCGUCGGAUUAAAUUAAUGGCCGCUGGAAGGCAUGGGGGUUAUAGGGACCUCGAAUUGAGAGACCGUGAGGCUGAUUUUGUGAUCCCGAGGAAGGAAAUUGGGUAUUUGAAAGGAGACUAUGAUCGGAUUAGGAAAGGGGAUAGGGAGUACGAGAGGAGUCGAGGCCGGGGUAGAGGUAGUCUUGAUUACAGGAGUAGGGUAAGACAGAAGGAAAUUAAAGAAAGGGAGGUGAUGAAUGGUGGAUAUCGCUCUACGUCUAGUAAGAGUGAGCCUCAAAGGCGUGGGCUUGCAGUUCCCCCCAUGGAUCGAGAGCCUGGGGAGCUUUCUAGUGAUGGGUCUGAUGGCCCUAUAGAGGGGAACCAUGUUAUUAAAGAGACUGAGGUAAAAAGGUUAGAAAACGGGAGUCGUUUGUCUCCCGUGCAGAACAAGAAAAGGAAGUUUUCACCUAUUGUUUGGGAUAGAGACGAUAGGGUUGCUAGCCGAACAGUUAAAAGUAGGAAUUCCUUGGAAACUACAAGUCCGCCACCAUCAUCUCCACCUCCUUUGCCUGAAUCACGCCAAGAGUUUCCUGACACUAAUUCUAUUCUGGAUUCCGAUGUAAAAACCUCGCUGGCAGAUGCUAGCGAGGUUUAUAUUUCUGAACCAUCGCCUUCUAAAAUUGAUUUGUUACCUGAUUUGUCAGAAUUGCCCGCAGAAACAUCUUCUCUGCUGCAUCAAGAAGACCCCUGGGUCAAUAACCAGGAAACAGGGGAAAUUGAUGAUGACGAUGAUUAUGUGCCAGCACGAACUAUAAUAUCUUCUCGCUGGGCGAAUGAUGCUGACUGGCCAACUGACGAAGCUGAGAUUUCUGGAGACAAACGGAAGUUGAAGAGGAAGGCUGGUUCUGAGUUGGCUGAAGUAAGAGAAUUUAGGAAAUUAGAAAGUCCUGAGCUUGGGGAAGUCAAAAGAGAAGGUUCUGAAGGAAUUAGGGGUAGAUCCUCUGGGUCUGAUGAACGUGUCAGAUCAUCCAGUAGAGAUGGUCACCAUGAAAAUGAUGACAAGAGCGACUAUAUGCUGUUAGAUGAUGAUCAAACUAAUGAUGGUACUCUUGUUAGCCAUUCUGACACAGAAUCCGAUGACGAUUCUGGUUCUCGCGGUCCACCAGAACUCGCCCACCCACCGCCAAGGAGUGUCAAUAUGCUUAAGGGUUGCAGAAGUGUUGAUGAGUUCGAGAGAAUCAACAGGAUAGAUGAAGGUACAUAUGGGGUUGUUUAUAGGGCCAAGGAUAAGAAGACGGGAGAAAUUGUGGCUUUGAAGAAGGUCAAGAUGGAGAAAGAGAGGGAAGGGUUUCCUCUGACUUCUCUCAGGGAAAUGAACAUCCUUCUAUCUUUUCAUCACCCCUCCAUUGUAGAUGUUAAAGAAGUAGUGGUAGGGAGGGAUCUCAAUAGUAUUUUCAUGGUUAUGGAGUACAUGGAGCAUGAUCUCAAAGGAUUGAUGGAGGCAAUGGAACAGCCGUUUAGUCAAAGUGAAGUUAAAUGUCUUAUGCUCCAGCUCUUAGAGGGGAUCAAGUAUCUUCAUGACAACUGGGUAUUGCAUCGAGAUCUAAAAACUUCAAAUUUGCUUUUAAAUAACCGUGGCGAGUUAAAGAUCUGUGACUUCGGUCUGUCUCGUCAAUAUGGAAGCCCCCUAAAACCAUAUACUCAGUUGGUAGUUACUCUGUGGUACAGGUCACCAGAACUUCUUUUGGGAGGCAAAGAGUAUUCUACAGCGAUUGAUAUGUGGUCACUGGGAUGCAUUAUGGCUGAGUUUUUAUCAAAAGAACCUUUAUUUAAUGGGAAAACAGAAGUUGAACAGCUUGACAAGAUUUUCAAGAUUCUUGGCACUCCAAAUGAGACUAUCUGGCCUGGGCUCUCUAAACUCUCCGGUUCCAAGGUGAACUUCGUCAAGCAUAAGUACAACCUUUUGCGCAAGAAAUUUCCGGCAACUUCUUUUCAUGGGUCACCUGUACUAUCUGAGGCUGGAUUCGACCUGUUGAACAAGCUUCUAACAUAUGACCCCGACAAGCGGAUAACUGCUGAAGCGGCUCUCAGACAUGAAUGGUUCCGUGAAGUUCCCUUACCAAAGUCUAAGGAAUUCAUGCCUACUUUUCCUGCUCAGCAUGGACAAGACAGGCGUAUAAGGAGAGUAAGGAAGAGUCCUGAUCCAUUAGAAGAGCAGAGGAGGAAGGAAUUACAACAAGGAGAACUAGGCACUGGUGGUUUAUUUGGCCAGUAGUGUUCAAACUCUGUAUUCUUCUAUGGAUUGAGUGGAGGGAGCAUUCUUAGCAAUUCAUUAAUGGAUAGUUUGACGAAAAAGUAUAGCAUGCCUGGAGUAUCCGAGCAAGCAGGUAGAGGAGCUCACUUAGACAAGUCAGCCCUUAUAAAAUCCAAAUUAUUUUCCCGUUCUACGCUUUUGUCUGCCAAAGUUAUAGAGGAGUACUUCGGACUGUUAAAAGUCUCUCCCUUGCAGCUUACAAUUUUUUUGACCUGAAAUUGGAGGGUUAACCUGCCAUCCUCUUCUGUGCGACAGGUAACUGUGUAAUCGGGCUUUUGAUAUAUUUACGGCAGAGUAGUUAUUAAUUAAUUAUCACAUGAUCUGAUAGGUUUUAGAGUCUUUGCGGUGAUUGGAUGAAGUUUUUUUCCAAUUGCUUUCUUCUGCUGAAUUGUCGUCACCUGUACAUUAUUUGUCUUUACGUGCAAAUCAAACAUGGGCUAAUCUUUUUUAUUUGGAUUUGCAGUUGCAGUUGUAAUAUAUUAUGCAUUAUACGGCAAUUGCUAAUGACAUAAACAUUGAAAAUAAGUUGUGUUCUUGCGUGUUUCGUGCUUUCACACAUCUCCCUUGGACUAUUAGGUGCCGGCAUAAAGUUGUCUUUUUUCCAAAGGUAAUUCACUAUUUCUUUUCUAAUGCAUUGUUUAGUUGAUGCAUAUUUUUUUGUUCUGAAACUAUUUCUUUUGCUCUUAUAUUGAUUUGAGUGAACAACUGAUUUUGGCUUUGGACCAGUCGGCUCGCAGAGUUGGUUUGGUUCCGGAUUUCCUCCGAGACAAUUACUCUACUCUUGAUUAUUUCUAGGUUUUAUGAUUAAUCAAUUAUAUUCUUUCGUAUAUGGGAAUUAAUAGUUUUUUUUC